UUCCGGUUGAUCCUGCCGGACCCUACUGCUAUCGGGGUGGGACUAAGACAUGCGAGUCGAGCGUCUCCAGCUAUGGUGAGACGCGGCAGACGGCUCAGUAACACGUGGCUAACCUACCCUCAGGACAGGGACAAACCCGGGAAACUGGGGCUAAUACCCGAUAGGCGAGGGCGCCUGGAAUGGUUCUUCACCCAAAGGGCUUUGGAAGCAUGCUUUUCAAAGUCGCCUGGGGAUGGGGCCGCGUCCGAUCAGGUUGUUGGUGAGGUAACGGCUCACCAAGCCUAUAACCGGUACGGGCCGUGAGAGCGGUAGCCCGGAGAUGGGCACUGAGACAAGGGCCCAGGCCCUACGGGGCGCAGCAGUCGCGAAAACUCCGCAAUGCACGAAAGUGUGACGGGGCUACCCCGAGUGCCGUCCGCUGAGGAUGGCUUUUCCUCGGUGUAACUAGCCGGGGGAAUAAGGAGAGGGCAAGACUGGUGUCAGCCGCCGCGGUAAUACCAGCUCUCCGAGUGGUAGGGAUGAUUAUUGGGCUUAAAGCGUCCGUAGCCGGCUUAGCAAGUCUCCUGUUAAAUUCAGCGAUCUAAUCGUUGAGCCGCGGGAGAUACUACUAGGCUAGGAGGCGGGAGAGGCCGACGGUACUUCCGGGGUAGGGGUGAAAUCCUAUAAUCCCGGGCGGACCACCAGUGGCGAAGGCUGUUGGCUAGAACGCGCUCGACGGUGAGGGACGAAAGCUGGGGGAGCGAACCGGAUUAGAUACCCGGGUAGUCCCAGCCGUAAACGAUGCGGGCUAGGUGUUGGGGUGGCUACGUGCCACUUCAGUGCCGCAGGAAGCCAUUAAGCCCGCCGCCUGGGGAGUACGGCCGCAAGGCUGAACUUAAGGAAUUGGCGGGGAGCACACAAGGCGUGAAGCUUGCGGUUCAAUUGGAUUCAACGCCGGG
rnacentral:rRNA from 1 species